AGAGUUUGAUCCUGGCUCAGAAUGAACGCUGGCGGCGUGCCUAACACAUGCAAGUCGAACGAGAAAGCCAGCAAUGGUGAGUACAGUGGCGCACGGGUGAGUAAUACAUAGGAAUCUGCCUCUGAGUGGAGAAUACCCUAGAGAAAUUUAGGUUAAUACUGCAUAAGCCUCGCAAGAGGGAAAGGUGGCCUCAAGCUGCCGCUGAGAGAUGAGCCUAUGGCCUAUUAGCUUGUUGGUGAGGUAAAAGCUCACCAAGGCGAAGAUGGGUAGCCGGCCUGAGAGGGUGUACGGCCACACUGGAACUGAGACACGGUCCAGACUCCUACGGGAGGCAGCAGUGGGGAAUCUUGCACAAUGGGCGAAAGCCUGAUGCAGCGACGCCGCGUGGAGGAUGACGGUCUUCGGAUUGUAAACUCCUGUUAAGUGGGAAGAAAGAUUCAUACCUAAUACGUAUGGAGGAUGACGGUACCACUAGAGAAAGCACCGGCAAACUUCGUGCCAGCAGCCGCGGUAAUACGAAGGGUGCUAGCGUUAUUCGGAAUAACUGGGCGUAAAGAGCGUGUCGGCGGUUUUUUAAGUCAACUGUAAAAGAGCUCGGCUUAACCGAGUAAAUGCGGGUGAUACUGGAAGACUAGAGUGCGGGAGAGAAAGGUAGAAUUCUCGGAGUAGCGGUAAAAUGCGUAGAUCUCGAGAGGAAUACCGGUUGCGAAGGCGGCCUUUUGGCCCGUAACUGACGCUUAAGCGCGAAAGCGUGGGGAGCAAACAGGAUUAGAUACCCCGGUAGUCC
rnacentral:rRNA from 1 species